rnacentral:rRNA from 1 species
GAUGAACGCUGGCGGCGUGCCUAACACAUGCAAGUCGAACGGAGACCCGCCUUUAAGACCUUCGGGUCAAAGGGGGGAAGCCUGAGAGGCGGACGGGUGAGUAACACGUGGGCAACCUGGCUCAUUGAGGGGGAUAACAGAUAGAAAUUUCUGCUAAUACCACCUACACACACCCUGCCUCAUGGCCGGGGGUGAAAAGAGAAACGCUAUGAGAUGGACCCCCGUCUGAUUAGACAGUUGGCAGGGUAAGACCCUACCACAGCGACGAUCAGUAGCCGGACUGUGAGGAUCAGCCGACACUCUGGGGCUGGGACACGGUCCGGACUCCUACGGGAGGCGGGAGAGGGGGAUAGUGCACAAUGGGGGGAACGCUGAUGCUGCGACGACGCGAGAGUGCAGAAGUAUUUCGGUAUGUAAAGCUCUAGCAGCAGUGCACAUAUUGACAGUACCUGAAUAAGAAGCCCCGGCUAACUACGUG